UUGGAGUUUUUGGAUUACAGAUCUGGAAUCACCUUCGAUUGGUUGAGAAGGAAAACCAAGAAUAUGAUGAGAGGGAGCGACAAGCUCGCAAGGAGAAGAAACUUGCCAAGGCAGAGGAAAAGAUUCUGAGAGGUCCACACGAGGAUCUUCAGAGCUAUCUUGAAGCAAUUGAUCAGCUGAGAAGCAACAUUCAGUAUUUCACUAACCACAAAAGUUUUAAAAGUACAGCCGGUGUACUUACCCAUGCCAAUAAUUUGCUGACAAAAGCUAUCUCAAAAUUAAAAGAUCAGUUUAGAAAUCUAUUAACAAACUACAGUGAGGUGGUGGAACCUGAACGCCUUUUCGAUGACCUGCCAGAUUCAUUGCGACCGUCAGCAUCACCUGCGAAGCGAGGUGAUAACAAGAAAGAUUCUGACACCAAAAGAACUUAGAAAAUGUUGUUUACACACCUCCUACUCUUAUACCUCCCAGGGUUCUACCUUUGCUGCGUAAUUUAUCCCAACAAAUGGUUCAAGUCGGCCACCAGCAACAGUUGUUCAGGAUU